rnacentral:rRNA from 1 species
UACGGAGGGGGCGAGCGUUGUCCGAAGUUACUGGGCGUAAAGCGCGCGUAGGCGGGGAGCCAAGUCCGCUGUGAAAGCCUGAGGCUUAACCUCAGCGGGUCGGUGGAUACUGGUUCUCUUGAAGGCGCUAGGGGGAGAUGGAAUUACCGGUGUAGCGGUGAAAUGCGUAGAGAUCGGGAAGAACAUCGGUGGCGAAAGCGCUCUGCUGGACUGCAACUGACACUCAGGGACGAAAGCUAGGGGAGCGAAUGGG